UGCCCAGCAACUCCUAUCCCUACCUCCUCGUGGUACCGACCGGGGUACGAGUAACCUUAGGGAAGAACUGGUAACCAACCCUGGUGGGAACUUUGGUCGUAUGCUGACAGGGAAGG
rnacentral:ribozyme from 1 species